rnacentral:lncRNA from 1 species
UUUGAUAAAUAGCAAUGCAAUGAAUUGUUUCAAGGCUGACCCUAAUUAAUUAAUAAAUUGACUCCCAUUAAAUUCGGAGUUGUUAGUUACUUCGUCUGGAUGAAUCUUAGUGAUGGAAUAAUUAAGUCAUAAUUCAUUAGAUGAAUGUAUCAUUAACUAUUUUUUUUUGUGAGGAACUUAUCAUGAAUCCACUGAUUUCUGCCGCUUCUGUUAUUGCUGCUGGGUUAGCUGUCGGGCUUGCUUCUAUUGGACCUGGAGUUGGUCAAGGUACUGCUGCGGGCCAAGCUGUAGAAGGCACAUAUUGUGUUUUCUGGCUUGUGCUUCUUGGCAGCUAUCUGGCAUUGGGUGUAUUGGGAUUUAGAAAUAUUUUGUGAUGAGCAUACAGGAAAACCUUCUUUGGAUUUGCCAAAAUUUUUUGGAAUUCCAUUAGGAACCGCAGAUUUUUUGGUACAUCACAUUCAUGCAUUUACGAUUCAUGUAACAGUAUUGAUACUCCUGAAAGGUGUUCUAUUUGCUCGUAGCUCUCGUUUGAUAGUCUUUGCAGCCUUAAUGCUUUUUGCUGGUUGGUUCCAUUAUCACAAAGCUGCUCCAAAAUUGGCCUGAUUUUACAGAUUCGAAAUGAGAAACUGUCAUCCCAGUCAACUGAAUUGGGAUGCCCCAGAUCUAACAUGUCUCGUGAAAGGAGUAACAUGAAGCUCAGAAGGGCUAACCUCUUCCUAUAGGAGCUUCUUUCUGUUUUUUUCCGGUAUGCCGCUCCGCGAGCAAGGAGCGCCACGCACGAGCGGAGCGAAAACAAAGCAAGAGGAAUUCUUCGUUGGGGGAAAUCCUUUGAUUGCAUAUUGAAUAAGUUCAGGGUUCCAAACUCAACGGUGGCAACUAAACUCAACUAGGACAGAAAUAAAGCAUUGGGUCGAACUCUUCUUUGGUGUCAAGGUAAAAGCUAUGAAUAGUCAUCGACUCCCGGGAAAGGGUAGAAGAAUGGGACCUAUUCUGGGACAUACAAUGCAUUACAGAAGAAAGUAGAAGCAUGGUCUCUGUUCAGCUGCUCAAUUCUCUUUCGAAAUUAGGCUAGGCUCGUAUUCAAGGUAUGGAACCUCCUUUCUUCACCCCAACUUCAGGGAUGAAUCGAAAAAGAAAUCUUUAUUGGUUCUACCUCCUCUUUUUUAUGAAGAGAAUGAAUCUUUAGAAUAAGCUAAACCUCUUUUAAUAUCUUUUUGAGCAAUAAACAGCUCGUCUCGCCGUGACCUUCUCUUGAAUUCUCAAAACUUCUGUCGCUCCAUCCCCGCAGGGGCAGAGAACCCGUCGCUGUCUCGGCUAUUACUAUCUCGAACUAAAAAGGUGUCAUCAGAGAUAAAAUUACGUCUCCCACUCCAGUCGUUGCUUUUCUUUCUGUUACUUCGACGCCCACAAUCGGCCCAAAAGGGGAAGGACCUUUCCCUAUGGGAGUAGGAAAAUCAUGAUCGGGAUAGCGGACCCAAGGCUAUGGAACUUGGGUGUGGGUCUUUUGUCGAAAUUACCAUGGUUGGGAACUAAUGAUUGGCUAUGUCUACAAAGAUUUUGGAUUUGCUCACAACGAUCAAGUCGCCAAUCCCUAAAACGGACUAUGGAAUGUACUUUAUCUGCUGGGUUACGUUACGGGCGGCUUUUUCUUUUUAUUCAUUUAUCAUUUAAUUUAGUUCAGUUUUAUUUUAGGUUUAUGAAAUUUCAAAAAUAAAGGAGUCUUUAUGUCGCAUUACCGAGGGUCUCGUUUCAAAAAAAUACGCCGUCUUGGGGCUUUACCAGGACUAACGAAUUUGUGGCGUCAACCUAUAGGGUUUUUCAUUUUUCUUAUAUCUUCGUUCUCUUUCUGUCGAACGAAGAUUCAUUUGGUCUUGAUCCUUGUAGAGUGAAAAAGGCCUGAUCUUAGGCCCUGACUCACCCUCCGUGGAAGAACCUUGCGGAGGAACCCUUAGGUUUUCGGGGCAUUGGAUUCUCACCAAUGUUUGCGUUACUGCAGCGGGUGCUGUAGCGAAACUGAUUGCAAAAGAGGGGAAAUCGGCCACAUUAAAAUUACCUUAUGGGGAGGUCCGUUUGAUGAAUUUUAUCAUCCCGGAGAUAUCAAAAGAAAAAAGGGGUUUGCCUAUUCUGUCCAAAAAAAGAGGGCUAUUAGCUCAGUGGUAGAGCGCGCCCCUGAUGCUUAUGGACCCGAACUUGGGUGAUCUAUCCAUGACCAGGAUGAAGCUUGGGUGAAACUAAGUGGAGGUCCGAACCGACUGAUGUUGAAGAAUUAGCGGAUGAGUUGUGGUUAGGGGUGAAAUGCCACUCGAACCCAAAGACAAAAACCCGUCCUCAGUUCGGAUUGCAGGCUGCAACUCGCCUGCAUGAAGCCGGAAUCGCUAGUAAUCGCCGGUUAGCCAUACGGCGGUGAAUUCGAAUCAACCGUUUAUGAUUCUUUGAUAGAAAUAAAUCAGAAAAAGGGCCGUGUUGCUGCCAUUUUGAAACGAUUAAAAAUCACCGCUUC